rnacentral:rRNA from 1 species
UGGGGAAUUUUGCACAAUGGGGGAAACCCUGAUGCAGCGACGCCGCGUGAUUUAGAAGGCCUUCGGGUUGUAAAAAUCUUUUCUAUGGGAAGAAAAUGACAGUACCAUAGGAAUAAGGACAGGCUAAUUACGUGCCAGCAGCCGCGGUAAUACGUAAGGUCCGAGCGUUGUCCGGAAUCAUUGGGCGUAAAGGGUACGUAGGCGGGUAAGCAAGUUAGAAGUGAAAUCCUGUAGCUAAACUACAGUAAGCUUUUAAAACUGCUCAUCUUGAGAUAUGGAAGGGAAAGUGGAAUUCCUAGGGUAGCGGUGAAAUGCGCAGAUAUUAGGAGGAAUACCGGUGGCGAAGGCGACUUUCUGGCCAUAAUCUGACGCUGAGGUACGAAAGCGUGGGUAGCAAACAGG